rnacentral:rRNA from 1 species
AGAGUUUGAUCCUGGCUCAGAAUGAACGCUGGCGGCAUGGAUUAGGCAUGCAAGUCGAACGGUAACAGAGGUGCUUGCACCUGCUGACGAGUGGCGUAAGGGUGAGUAACACGUGAGCAACCUACCUUAAAGUCGGGGAUAGCCCAUGGAAACGUGGAUUAAUACCGGAUGUGGCAAUUUUAUCGCAUGGUAAAGUGGCUAAAAUCUUUUUGCUUUAAGAUGGGCUCGCGCACCAUCAGCUAGUUGGUAAGGUAACGGCUUACCAAGGCUAUGACGGUUAGGUGGUCUGAGAGGAUGAUCACCCACACUGGGACUGAGACACUGCCCAGACUCCUACGGGAGGCUGCAGUCGAGAAUCUUCCGCAAUGCGCGAAAGCGUGACGGAGCGAUGCCGCGUGCAGGAUGACGGCCUUCGGGUUGUAAACUGCUGUCACUUGGGAAAAAUUUUGAUGGUACCAAGAGAGGAAGCACCGGCUAACUACGUGCCAGCAGCCGCGGUAAUACGUAGGGUGCGAGCGUUAUUCGGAUUUAUUGGGCGUAAAGGGUUCGUAGGCGGUACUGUAAGUCUGAUGUGAAAUCUCCGGGCUCAACCCGGAAACUGCAUUGGAUACUGCAGAACUAGAGUACUGGAGAGGUAAGCGGAAUUCCUGGUGUAGCGGUGGAAUGCGUAGAUAUCAGGAGGAACACCGAUGGCGAAGGCAGCUUACUGGACAGUUACUGACGCUCAUGAACGAAAGCUAGGGGAGCAAACAGGAUUAGAUACCCUGGUAGUCCUAGCUGUAAACGUUGUUCACUAGAUGUAGGCGGAUUGGUCCCGUCUGUGUCCAAGCUAACGUGAUAAGUGAACCGCCUGGGGAGUACAGCCGCAAGGUUAAAACUCAAAGGAAUUGACGGGGGCCCGCACAAGCGGUGGAGCAUGUGGCUUAAUUCGAGUCAACGCGAAGAACCUUACCUGGGUUUGACAUAUAUAGGACCGCCUUGGAAACAAGGUUUCUCUUCGGAGUCUAUAUACAGAUGCUGCAUGGCUGUCGUCAGCUCGUGCCGUGAGGUGUUCGGUUAGUCCGGCAACGAGCGCAACCCACGCUGUUAGUUACCAGCGAGUAAUGUCGGGAACUCUAGCAGGACUGCCCGUGCUAAGCGGGAGGAAGGCGUGGACGACGUCAAGUCCGUAUGGCUCUUACAUCCAGGGCUGCACACGUGCUACAAUGGCCGAUACAAUGGGACGCCACUCCGCGAGGAGGAGCCAAUCCUGAAAAUCGGCCCCAGUUCGGAUUGGAGUCUGCAACUCGACUCCAUGAAGUCGGAAUCGCUAGUAAAGGCGUAUCAGCUACGACGCCUUGAAUACGUUCCCGGGCCUUGUACACACCGCCCGUCACAUCAUGGAAGCCCACUGCACCCGAAGUCGCUGACCGAACCCGCAAGGGACGGAGGUGCCGAAGGUGUGGUUGGUAACUGGGAUGAAGUCGUAACAAGGUA